rnacentral:rRNA from 1 species
AGUCACUGACAUUAGAUACCCGGGUAGUCCAGGGUGUAAACGCUGCAGACUUGGUGUUGGGAACCCUUCGGGGGUGCUCAGUGCCGGAGAGAAGUUGUUAAGUCUGCUACUUGGGGAGUACGUCCGCAAGGAUGAAACUUAAAGGAAUUGGCGGGGGAGCACCGCAACGGGAGGAGCGUGCGGUUUAAUUGGAUUCAACACCGUAAACUCACCAGGGAAGACUGUUACAUGAAGGCCGAGAUGAAGACUCUGCUAGAUUUUCAG